UCCCGACGGUGAGUUCACAGCGGUGGUGU
rnacentral:piRNA from 2 species